rnacentral:rRNA from 1 species
CCUACGGGUGGCAGCAGUGGGGAAUAUUGCACAAUGGGCGCAAGCCUGAUGCAGCGACGCCGCGUGAGGGAUGGAGGCCUUCGGGUUGUGAACCUCUUUCGCCAGUGAAGAAGGUCCUGCUCUUUGUGGUGGGGUUGACGGUAGCUGGGUUAAUGAAGCGCCGGCUAACUACGUGCCAGCAGCCGCGGUAAUACGUAGGGCGCGAGCGUUGUCCGGAAUUAUUGGGCGUAAAGGGCUUGUAGGCGGCUGGUCGCGUCUGCCGUGAAAUCCUCUGGCUCAGCUGGGGGCGUGCGGUGGGUACGGGCUGGCUUGAGUGCGGUAGGGGAGACUGGAACUCCUGGUGUAGCGGUGGAAUGCGCAGAUAUCAGGAGGAACACCGGUGGCGAAGGCGGGUCUCUGGGCCGUUACUGACGCUGAGGAGCGAAAGCGUGGGGAGCGAACAGGAUUAGAUACCCUUGUAGUC